CAUUAGAUGGCUGAAAGUAAGUGCUGGUCUCUUAAACCAUAAAAUAAUAGAUUAACUACUAUUUCUAAUG
rnacentral:tRNA from 1 species